rnacentral:rRNA from 1 species
CCUACGGGGGGCAGCAGUGGGGAAUAUUGGACAAUGGGCGAAAGCCUGAUCCAGCCAUGCCGCGUGUGUGAAGAAGGUCUUCGGAUUGUAAAGCACUUUAAGUUGGGAGGAAGGGCAGUAACCUAAUACGUUAUUGUUUUGACGUUACCGACAGAAUAAGCACCGGCUAACUUCGUGCCAGCAGCCGCGGUAAUACGAAGGGUGCAAGCGUUAAUCGGAAUUACUGGGCGUAAAGCGCGCGUAGGUGGUUCGUUAAGUUGGAUGUGAAAUCCCCGGGCUCAACCUGGGAACUGCAUCCAAAACUGGCGAGCUAGAGUAUGGUAGAGGGUGGUGGAAUUUCCUGUGUAGCGGUGAAAUGCGUAGAUAUAGGAAGGAACACCAGUGGCGAAGGCGACCACCUGGACUAAUACUGACACUGAGGUGCGAAAGCGUGGGGAGCAAACAGGAUUAGAUACCCCAGUAGUC